rnacentral:rRNA from 1 species
GGUAUCAGGCACACCCAUGUUGUAGACCCAAAACGCCUUGCAAUUGCCACGCCCCCACGGGUUCUCAGCAGUAGUUAACAUUAAGCAAUGAGUGCAAACUUGACUUAGCCAUAGCAAAUCCAGGGUCGGUAAAUCCUGUGCCAGCCACCGCGGUCAUACAGGAGACCCAAGUCAACGUUAUAACGGCGUAAAGCGUGGUACUAUGUUAUCUAAAGUAGCUAAGAUUAAAAAGCAACUGAGCUGUCAUAAGCCCAAGAUGCCCAUAAGGCCUCCACCAAAGAAGAUCUUAGACCAAUGAUCCAUUGAAACCCACGAAAGCCAGGACCCAAACUGGGAUUAGAUACCCCACUAUGCCUGGCCCUAAAUCUUGAUGCUCGAUCUUACCGGAGCAUCCGCCCGAGAACUACGAGCACAAACGCUUAAAACUCUAAGGACUUGGCGGUGUUCCAAACCCACCUAGAGGAGCCUGUUCUGUAAUCGAUGAUCCACGAUAUACCUGACCAUUCCUUGCCCGAACAGCCUAUAUACCGCCGUCGCCAGCCCACCCAGCAUGAAGGCCCAACAGUGGACGCAAUAGCCCUACCGCGCUAAUACGACAGGUCAAGGUAUAGCCUAUGGAAUGGAAGCAAUGGGCUACAUUUUCUAAGCUAGAACAUAACGGCAAAGGGAUAUGAAACUGUCCCUGGAAGGCGGAUUUAGCAGUAAAGUGGGACAAUCGAGCCCUCUUUAAGCCGGCCCUGGAGCACGUACAUACCGCCCGUCACCCUCCUCAAAAGCGCCCCC